rnacentral:rRNA from 1 species
CACUCCUACGGGAGGCAGCAGUGGGGAAUAUUGCACAAUGGGCGCAAGCCUGAUGCAGCCAUGCCGCGUGUAUGAAGAAGGCCUUCGGGUUGUAAAGUACUUUCAGCGGGGAGGAAGGCGAUAAGGUUAAUAACCUUGUUGAUUGACGUUACCCGCAGAAGAAGCACCGGCUAACUCCGUGCCAGCAGCCGCGGUAAUACGGAGGGUGCAAGCGUUAAUCGGAAUUACUGGGCGUAAAGCGCACGCAGGCGGUCUGUCAAGUCGGAUGUGAAAUCCCCGGGCUCAACCUGGGAACUGCAUUCGAAACUGGCAGGCUAGAGUCUUGUAGAGGGGGGUAGAAUUCCAGGUGUAGCGGUGAAAUGCGUAGAGAUCUGGAGGAAUACCGGUGGCGAAGGCGGCCCCCUGGACAAAGACUGACGCUCAGGUGCGAAAGCGUGGGGAGCAAACAGGAUUAGAUACCCCUGUAGUCCCAUG